AUCCACCAUGACGAGUCCCAAAUAGGACGAAAUGCGCAUCCUGGAU
rfam:Trichobilharzia regenti genome assembly, scaffold: TRE_contig0025925